ensembl:snoRNA
AAUCAGUAUGCAUUGUUAUAUCAGGAGAAAAGAUACUUCCAAUGUGAUGAACAAAUUUUUGGAGAUAAAUUAGCAGCAUUACAAAUUUUGCCAUUGCCGUCAGUCAACUUCAGACAAGU